CACCAUAAACCAGCUCCUUACUUUCAAUCAAGGUGGGUGAACAAAGCAAAAAAACAAAAAAACAAUAAAGGAAGAAGUGAAAUUAGAUAUUCCUAAAUGGUUUGUCUUAGGCUUCUUGUUGUAGUACUUUGUUACAGGCUUCCAGCAAUCUGGCUAAAUAAUCAUAGAAUGCAAAGGAAAAGUAUAUCGUGAAAUAAACUAGAAUGAAUUUAUUGCUUUAUGUCUAUGUAUCUUGUCAAUAAGCCACAUAUCCAAUUAUUUUCAUGAUGCUUGUAUUAAUUGGGAGGCUUGUAUAUUUUACUGAUUUAAGUGGGUCCAUCAAAGUGCAGGCGAUAUGCUGGGUAGACAACCAACAUGACUUUAUCAAGGGAAAUGGUGAAAAAUUAGAUUAUCUUUUGUCAAUAGAAAACCCAUAAAACGACGUGAUAAUGGAUGUCCAUAAAGGUCGAAUGUUGAGGUUAAUUUGUUAGAUAGAAUUUAAUAUUUGUUCCUUUUACUAUCAUAUUUUCCAUGUUUGGGAAGAAUGAAUAAAAUGGUCGAGUUCCAACACAUGUUAGUGGUAUUAGAUAAUACAUUGCUAUCUUUUCACGUUUAAACACCAUGAUUCUAGUCAAUUGAAUGUCUUCCUUUUUUACUGCAGCAAAAUUAAAUACAUUAAAGAUAAAUAACAAAAGGGUUGUUAACAACUAUCCAAUUCAUUGUUACUGAACAAUAUUAAAUAUAUAUUAAAGUUAAAUAACAAAAGGGUGGUUGUUACGAACUGUCCAAUUAUUGUUACUGAACAAGAUUAUAUAUAUUAAAGCUAAAUAACAAAAGGGUUGUUGAGAACUAUCCAAUUAAUUUUACUGAACAAAUGCCCCAGGGACAGUUGUUAACAAUAACCCUUCCGUUGUUUAGCUUUAAUAUAUUUAAUAUUGUUCAUUAACAAUCAAUUUGAUAUUUUUGUCCGCAUUUGGAGCUUUAAAUUAAUAGCGUUGGGAGUUAGUAGCUACGGUUUUUGAACAUAUUGGAGAAUACUUAAGGCAACUUACUAGAGAUUUCCUAUUUCCUGAUUUUACCCAUUAGAUGUAAAAGAAUGUAAUUGCUGCCUUUGCGUGUUCUCAUAGAAAUUCAAUAACAAUGUGAUAUAAUCAGCUUUAUACUCUUUGAAUAAUACAAAUUAAGGAUUGAAAUUUUAGACUAAUUUUUUUUCAUCAUAACUACAAUAAAUGCUAGUUGUUGGUGAACUAUCAUCUAAAUAGCUAUCUAAUGAUUAUUAAAAUUAAGAUACGGAUUCAAUUUGAUUCUCAAACUAUGACAGGGCGAAAAGGGUAUUUAUAGGUGGAAAAAGGAGAGGAGAACACGAAAUACAAUAGGAUGAGGUUAUGAUACCUAAGCUGUUUUUGUCUUCUUUCUUGAAAGGGUUGUGUGUAAUGCGUGACAGAGUCUCUCUUUUUCCGCAUCUCUCUCUUUGUGGAUUAAAAAGCUGUGCUUACUAUAUUGGUGAACAACUUUCGAACACUCAAUACAUCAUUAAUUGUAGCUUGGCAAAUGCCAGUGUGUGUGAAUAACAAAAGGGUGCUGCUAACAAGUGUUUAUGAGACAUUUUUUACAGUCCUUGGGGGAUUUAUUUAGCACCAGUUAAUGUAGUUGUUCAGCCAACAUUUAUUAUAGUUGUAAGUUGCAUUAAGUGUUGUUCAACAAAUUUUAUACGUUUAUUAUUAAACAAAUUGUUGAACCCAGGGACACUUAAUGGUUCUACUUAAACAACUUGUUUAAUGAUAGUUACUGGAAAAAAAAAUACUUGUUUAAUGAUUAAGGUCUACAAGUUGUUCAACCAACAUUGAAUGCAACUUACAACUCUUCUUCUAGGGUGCUAAUCUAACUAGUCUAACAAUACAGACUUUCGCCGAGAAAAAAAAAGAAGUUGUUGAAGCCAUUCAAAAAAAAAAAAAAAAAGUUGAACCCGUAACGUUCAUUGAAAGCUUCAUACAAAGAAGUUAUUUAAUUAUCAUGAGAAACAAGAUUACAAGUCAACAAUUUUUAGAUGUUUCAUAUAUCAUUAAUUGGAGCUCUACAAAUGCAGGUUUGUGCAAAUAAUUAAAGGUUGCUGCUAACAAUUGCUCAUGAGGUAUUUUUUUUUACAGACCCUAGGUUUGUCUAAAAGUUGUCCAACCAACACUUAAUGCAACUUACAACUCCUCCUCCAUGGUGCUAAUCUAACUAUUCUAAAAUACUGACUUUUGCCGAGCAAAAACAAAAGUUGUUGAAGUCGUUCAGAAAAAACAAAAGUUGUUGAACCCUUCACGUUCAUUAAAAGCUUCAUACCGCUAAACAAUUUUUGGAUGUUUCAUAUAUCAUUAAUGGAGCUUGACAAAUGCAGGUUUGUGCAAAUAAUUAAAGGGUGCUGCGAACAAUUGCUCAUGAGACAUUUUUUUACAGACCCUAGGAUAUACAUUAAGGAAAAUUGUUUUGUUAUUAUCUAUUAGUGAGGGUAUAACAGUAUACAAUUGAAUGGAUAUCCUUAUGAGAAACUAUUAGAAUGUCAUCACUCUUUACGUGUAAUUGAAAAUAAAUUAACCGUAACUAACUACAAUAUCAAUAUCUAACUUAGUUUAGAAACACCUAUUAUAAACACUUGAUUUGCUAUUGUUUAGGGGUAACUCAAGAUAUAACAGUUACGUUACUAAUUGUCCCCAAAGCUUAAGUUGUUAGGAAAUGAACCCAAUGAUUUAUAUCAACCUAUUUCAACGAUGCAACUAAAUGAUUAGGUUCUACCAAUCCUUGCAAGCGGAACCCAUCAAUUUGAGAUACAAUAAUGUCAUGAUAACUGUUGGAAAUUAUCCCACAUCGGUUAAUUAUCUCCUCCAAAACUAGUAUAUGAGCCUGGGCGGUCUCUCCAUUCAUGGCCAGUUGGUUUUGACAUGGACAAAGUUUCCACAUGGUAUCAGAGCGAUAUCCAUUCCAUCCCAAAUUUUAAAAAUUUACAAUCCACACCCCACGAUGACAUACCAGCACAAAGGCAGCACGAUGAUAGACCCAAAAAGAGGCUACACGUGACAGACCUCAAACGCGGUUGCACAUGAGGGGGGAUAUUAAGGAAAUAGAGUCCCACAUUGCUUGGGAGUGGAAUGAGUGAUCACUUUAUAACAUUUGGGACCUUUCCACUCAUUGCCCAACUGGUUUUGAAAUGGAUUUUUAGUUUCCACAAUAACCACACUUAUGCACCAUAAGUUGUGUUAUGUUAAUCCACAAAUGUACUCAGCAUAGCAUUCAUAGAGAGAGAGAGAGAGAGAGAGAGAGACCUCCUUCAAGGAAGAAGACAAAAAUAGCUCAAGAAUCCUAACCGCAGCCUCUUGUUCUUCGUGUUCUCUUCUCCUUUCUCCACCUAUAAAAGAGAGAGACCUCCUUCAAGGAAGAAGACAAAAAUAGCUCAAGAAUCCUAACCGCAGCCUCUUGUUCUUCGUGUUCUCUUCUCCUUUCUCCACCUAUAAAAACCCUUUCACCUUGCCAUAGUUUGUGAGUCAGAUUGCAUGCCACCCAGCUUUUGAACCACAUCAAGUUGUCCCCAUGAUUUAGGGUUGGUAUGUUGUAUGGCCCAUGUUUUUCCAGCGCUGUCUCCCCCAGCUCUUUUUGGGCUCCCUUGUACAAACCGCCUAUACGCCCUUCCUCUAUGUUCAUGUCAUGUCUGCUAUAACAUCAGUCAAUUGAUCCACCUUCAAACUAGAGCCCUCAGCUAUGCUGCUAAACUUGGAUGAUGAGCCCUCAUUUGUUGUUCGUAUUGCUGACUCAUCAUCCAAGCUUAGUGGCAUAGCUGAGAGCUCCAGUCUAAGGUUGGAUCAAUUGAGUGAUGUUCUAGGUGGGAUGAGAAUAGAGAAGAGGGGGAUAGGAGGUUUGUAUAAGGGAGCCAAAAGUAGAGUUGGUGGCUCCACCUCUAGAAAACCAUUGGCUACAUAGAAUUCCAUUCCCGAAUCAUGGGGACAUCCUGAUAACUUCAGAAGCUGGGUGGCAUGCAGCAGAGUAGUGGUGGAGAGGUUCUUCAGAGUAAUCAGUGAGUGAUUAUACCCAAGCUAUGUGGAGAUAUACUCUCUAAUAGAAGCAGCUGUAAUUUCAUGAUUUUCUAAUUUGUGUACUAGCUGUUUUAUAUAAGAUUUUAGUUGUUGCAAAUUGUGAGC